rnacentral:miRNA from 10 species
UGGAGGCACCAAAUUUCUGUUAUUAGCUUGGUGCAAAAGUAAUUGUGGGUUUUGCCAUUGAAAGAAAUGGCAAAACUCACAAUUGCUUUUGCACCACACUAAUAACAUUUUUCUUCAAA